GCCGUGGUGGUGGAAUUGGUAGACACGCUAGAUUUAGGAUCUAGUCUCCUCUGGAGGUGCAGGUUCGAGUCCUGUCCGCGGCACAA
rnacentral:tRNA from 1 species